rnacentral:lncRNA from 1 species
UCCUGCUUUGGUACUAGCCUGUCGGCUCUGUCCUAGUCCGUCACCGUCUGCUCUGUCUAAUACGGUCACCUGUCUGCUUUUUGUCUAAUCCGGUCCCCGCUCUGCUUUGGUCUAGCCUGUCACCUGUCUGCCUCUGUCUAGUCCGAUCACCGGUCUGCUCUGUCUAAUCCGGUCACCUGUCUGCUUUGUCUAAUCCGGUCACCUGUCUGCUUGGCCUAUCCGGUCAACUGUCUGAUUUGUCUCGCCGGGGCUGACUUUGUCUAACCCCGUCACACUGUAUGCU